ACCUGUAAYGACCAUAGCACAGAAGUGAUCUUGGAAGCUAAGCAGGUCAGGCCUGGUUUGUACUUGGAUGGGAGACCGCUUGGGAAUGCGGGGUGCUGCAGGCU
rnacentral:rRNA from 1 species